rnacentral:rRNA from 1 species
AUGAACGCUAGCUACAGGCUUAACACAUGCAAGUCGAGGGGCAUCAGGAAGAAAGCUUGCUUUCUUUGCUGGCGACCGGCGCACGGGUGAGUAACACGUAUCCAACCUGCCCUUUACUCGGGGAUAGCCUUUCGAAAGAAAGAUUAAUACCCGAUGGCAUAAUGAUUCCGCAUGGUUUCAUUAUUAAAGGAUUCCGGUAAAGGAUGGGGAUGCGUUCCAUUAGGUUGUUGGUGAGGUAACGGCUCACCAAGCCUUCGAUGGAUAGGGGUUCUGAGAGGAAGGUCCCCCACAUUGGAACUGAGACACGGUCCAAACUCCUACGGGAGGCAGCAGUGAGGAAUAUUGGUCAAUGGGCGCUAGCCUGAACCAGCCAAGUAGCGUGAAGGAUGAAGGCUCUAUGGGUCGUAAACUUCUUUUAUAUAAGAAUAAAGUGCAGUAUGUAUACUGUUUUGUAUGUAUUAUAUGAAUAAGGAUCGGCUAACUCCGUGCCAGCAGCCGCGGUAAUACGGAGGAUCCGAGCGUUAUCCGGAUUUAUUGGGUUUAAAGGGAGCGUAGGUGGACUGGUAAGUCAGUUGUGAAAGUUUGCGGCUCAACCGUAAAAUUGCAGUUGAUACUGUCAGUCUUGAGUACAGUAGAGGUGGGCGGAAUUCGUGGUGUAGCGGUGAAAUGCUUAGAUAUCACGAAGAACUCCGAUUGCGAAGGCAGCUCACUGGACUGCAACUAACACUGAUGCUCGAAAGUGUGGGUAUCAAACAGGAUUAGAUACCCUGGUAGUCCACACAGUAAACGAUGAAUACUCGCUGUUUGCGAUAUACAGUAAGCGGCCAAGCGAAAGCAUUAAGUAUUCCACCUGGGGAGUACGCCGGCAACGGUGAAACUCAAAGGAAUUGACGGGGGCCCGCACAAGCGGAGGAACAUGUGGUUUAAUUCGAUGAUACGCGAGGAACCUUACCCGGGCUUAAAUUGCAGUGGAAUGAUGUGGAAACAUGUCAGUGAGCAAUCACCGCUGUGAAGGUGCUGCAUGGUUGUCGUCAGCUCGUGCCGUGAGGUGUCGGCUUAAGUGCCAUAACGAGCGCAACCCUUAUCUUUAGUUACUAACAGGUCAUGCUGAGGACUCUAGAGAGACUGCCGUCGUAAGAUGUGAGGAAGGUGGGGAUGACGUCAAAUCAGCACGGCCCUUACGUCCGGGGCUACACACGUGUUACAAUGGGGGGUACAGAAGGCAGCUAGCGGGUGACCGUAUGCUAAUCCCAAAAUCCUCUCUCAGUUCGGAUCGAAGUCUGCAACCCGACUUCGUGAAGCUGGAUUCGCUAGUAAUCGCGCAUCAGCCACGGCGCGGUGAAUACGUUCCCGGGCCUUGUACACACCGCCCGUCAAGCCAUGGGAGCCGGGGGUACCUGAAGUACGUAACCGCAAGGAUCGUCCUAGGGUAAAACUGGUGACUGGGGCU